GUGCCUCAGGGAUGAACCAGUCCCUGAUAUUUAAUCCCAUUAGCUUCACUUUGUCAGGAAGCCCUUUCUGUCUUCUCUGAUCAUUCAUAAUGGGAAAAUC
rnacentral:snoRNA from 1 species